rnacentral:rRNA from 1 species
CCUACGGGAGGCAGCAGUGAGGAAUAUUGGUCAAUGGACGAGAGUCUGAACCAGCCAAGUAGCGUGAAGGAUGACUGCCCUAUGGGUUGUAAACCUCUUUUAUAUGGGAAUAAAACGUUCCACGUGUGGGAUUUUGUAUGUACCAUAUGAAUAAGCAUCGGCUAACUCCGUGCCAGCAGCCGCGGUAAUACGGAGGAUCCGAGCGUUAUCCGGAUUUAUUGGGUUUAAAGGGAGCGUAGGUGGAUUGUUAAGUGAGUUGUGAAAGUUUGCGGCUCAACCGUAAAAUUGCAGUUGAAACUGGCAGUCUUGAGUACAGUAGAGGUGGGCGGAAUUCGUGGUGUAGCGGUGAAAUGCUUAGAUAUCACGAAGAACUCCGAUUGCGAAGGCAGUUCACUGGACUGCAACUGACACUGAGGCUCGAAAGUGUGGGUAUCAAACAGGAUUAGAUACCCCUGUAGUC